rnacentral:rRNA from 1 species
AAUCAACGCUGGCGGCGUGCCUCAGACAUGCAAGUCGAACGCGAAAGUCCCCUUCGGGGGACAAGUAGAGUGGCGCACGGGUGAGUAACACGUAGGUAAUCUACCUUCGGAUGGGGAAUAACAAUACGGGAAACGGUUGCUAAUACCGCAUAAUGCAGCGGCACCUAAUGGUGACAGUUGUUAAAGCGGGGGAUCGCAAGAUCUCGCGCCUGAAGAGGAGCCUGCGGCGGANAGCUAGUUGGUAGGGUAAUGGCCUACCAAGGCGACGAUCCGUAGCCGGCCUGAGAGGGCGGUCGGCCACACUGACACUGACAUACGGGUCAGACUCCUACGGGAGGCAGCA